rnacentral:rRNA from 1 species
CACGCCGUAAACGAUGGGUACUAGGUGUAGGGGGUAUCAACUCCCCCUGUGCCGUCGUUAACACACUAAGUACCCCGCCUGGGGAGUACGGUCGCAAGAUUAAAACUCAAAGGAAUUGAC